UUCCGCCACGCGAUGUUUCGACAUGCUAAUAAUAGCAACCAGAUUCCCUGAAAUCUUACCCAAACGUGUUAUAUAUAUAUAUAUAUAUAUAUAUAUAUAUAUAUAUAUGUGUAUGUAUGAAGGAAAGAAAAGCCAAGGGCAGUUACAGUCCUACACAAAGAGUCCAAAAGACACGCUGAUCACUGCUGCGAAGCUUGUUGUUAUCUGCCUGCUCGAUCAGAUUGUGCCUGGGGCUGAACAACAAUAACAAUAACAGUAACAAAACAACCAACAGCAGCAGCAGCGGCAGCAGUAGUGGCAGCAGCAACAGUAGCAACAUAAUAAUAAUAACAACAGCAACACCAUCAGCAACAUGCUGGCACAUUGCAUGUACACUGUCGUACGUUCGCACAUGCACGUCAAUAGAUGAAGAAGAACAACACGUCCAUUAUUACGCGACACAAUACUGGAAGCACUCGUACAAAUAUAUUCCAAGGUAAUCGUGCCUCUUCUCUUU
rnacentral:lncRNA from 1 species